rnacentral:rRNA from 1 species
GACAGCAGCCGCCGCGGGAAUACAGAGGUCCCGAGCGUUGUUCGGAUUCACUGGGCGUAAAGGGUGUGUAGGAGGUUGGAUAAGUCAGGUGUGAAAUCCCGCAGCUCAACUGCGGAACUGCAUUCGAUACUGUUCAACUAGAGGAUCGGAGGGGGAAGCGGAAUUCUUGGUGUAGCGGUGAAAUGCGUAGAUAUCAAGAGGAACACCGGUGGCGAAGGCGGCUUCCUGGAAGAUACCUGACUCUGAAACACGAAAGCCAGGGGAGCGAAUGGGAUUAGAUACCCCCGUAGUCCCUGUCUCUUAUAC